AGUGAACGCUGGCGGUAGGCCUAACCCAUGCAAGUCGAACGGCAGCACAGUAAGAGCUUGCUCUUACGGGUGGCGAGUGGCGGACGGGUGAGGCAUACAUCGGAAUCUACUUUUUCGUGGGGGAUCACGUAGGCAAACUUACGCUAAUACCGCAUACGACCUACGGGUGAACGCAGACGAUCUUCGUACCUUUCGCGACUGAAUGAGCCGAUGUCGGAUUAGCUCGUUGGCGGAGUAAAUGCCCGCCAAGCCGACUAUCCGUAGCUGUUCUGAGAGGAUGAUCAGCCACAUCGGAACUGAGCAACAGCCCAGAAUCCUACAGUAGGCAGCGUUGGGGAAUAGAGGGCAAUGGGCGCAAGCCUGACCCUGCCAUCCCGCGUGGGUGAAGAAGGCCUUGGGGUUGUAAAGCUCUUGUGGUGGGAAAGAAAAGCAGCAGGUUAAUGCCCUCCUGUCCUGACGGUACCCAAACAAGAAGCACCGGCUAACUUCGUG
rnacentral:rRNA from 1 species